AUUGAACGCUGGCGGCAUGCCUUACACAUGCAAGUCGAACGGCAGCACGGGUGCUUGCCCCUGGUGGCGAGUGGCGAACGGGUGAGUAAUACAUCGGAACAUGUCCUGUAGUGGGGGAUAGCCCGGCGAAAGCCGGAUUAAUACCGCCUACGAUCUACGGAUGAAAGCGGGGGACCUUCGGGCCUCGCGCUAUAGGGUUGGCCGAUGGCUGAUUAGCUAGUUGGUGGGGUAAAGGCCUACCAAGGCGACGAUCAGUAGCUGGUCUGAGAGGACGACCAGCCACACUGGGACUGAGACACGGCCCAGACUCCUACGGGAGGCAGCAGUGGGGAAUUUUGGACAAUGGGCGAAAGCCUGAUCCAGCAAUGCCGCGUGUGUGAAGAAGGCCUUCGGGUUGUAAAGCACUUUUGUCCGGAAAGAAAUCCUUGGCUCUAAUACAGUCGGGGGAUGACGGUACCGGAAGAAUAAGCACCGGCUAACUACGUG
rnacentral:rRNA from 1 species